AAUGAACGCUGGCGGCGUGCCUAACACAUGCAAGUCGGAUGUGCCGCCAGGUGCAUGGCAGACGGGUGAGUAACGCGUAGGGAAUCUACCUUUUUGUGGGGAAUAACGCUCCGAAAGGAGUGGUAAUACCGCAUGAGACCGUGAGCUGGGAUGUUCACGGUGAAACCUGGGGACCGCAAGGCCUGGGGCAAAAAGAGGAUCCUGCGUCUGAUUAGCUAGUUGGCGGGGUAAUGGCCCACCAAGGCGACGAUCAGUAGCCGGCCUGAGAGGGUGAUCGGCCACACUGGAACUGAGACACGGUCCAGACUCCUACGGGAGGCAGCAGUGGGGAAUUUUGCGCAAUGGACGAAAGUCUGACGCAGCAACGCCGCGUGGGUGAUGAAGGUCUUCGGACUGUAAAACCCUGUCGUCAGGGACGAAGGUGGCAGUGUUAAUAGCGCUGUUACUUGACGGUACCUGGAGAGGAAGCCCCGGCUAACUCUGUG
rnacentral:rRNA from 1 species